rnacentral:rRNA from 1 species
CACGUAGGGUGCAAGCGUUGUCCGGAAUUAUUGGGCGUAAAGGGCUCGUAGGCGGCCUGUCACGUCGGCUGUGAAAACCUAGGGCUCAACCUUGGGCCUGCAGUCGAUACGGGCAGGCUUGAGUGUGGUAGGGGAGACUGGAAUUCCUGGUGUAGCGGUGAAAUGCGCAGAUAUCAGGAGGAACACCGGUGGCGAAGGCGGGUCUCUGGGCCAUUACUGACGCUGAGGAGCGAAAGCGUGGGGAGCGAACAGG